UACAGAGGGUGCAAGCGUUAAUCGGAAUUACUGGGCGUAAAGGCGUGCGUAGUCGGUUAUUUAAGUCGGGCGUGAAAGCCCCGGGCUCAACCUGGGAAUUGCGUUCGAUACUGGAUAGCUAGAGUUCGGCAGAGGGAAGCGGAAUUUCCGGUGUAGCGGUAGAAAUGCGUAGAUAUCGGAAGGAACAUCAGUGGCGAAAGCGGCUUCCUGGACCAGAACUGACGAUCAGGCACGAAAAGCGUGGGGAGCAAACAGG
rnacentral:rRNA from 1 species